UGGGGAAUAUUGCACAAUGGGGGAAACCCUGAUGCAGCGACGCCGCGUGAGCGAAGAAGGUUUUCGAAUCGUAAAGCUCUGUCCUAUGAGAAGAUAAUGACGGUAUCAUAGGAGGAAGCCCCGGCUAAAUACGUGCCAGCAGCCGCGGUAAUACGUAUGGGGCGAGCGUUGUCCGGAAUUAUUGGGCGUAAAGGGUACGUAGGCGGUCUAUUAAGUCAGGUGUGAAAGCGUGAGGCUUAACCUCAUUAAGCACUUGAAACUGAUAGACUUGAGUGAAGGAGAGGAAAGUGGAAUUCCUAGUGUAGCGGUGAAAUGCGUAGAUAUUAGGAGGAAUACCGGUGGCGAAAGCGGCUUUUUGGCCUGCAACUGACACUGAGGCGCGAAAGCGUGGGGAGCAAACAGG
rnacentral:rRNA from 1 species